rnacentral:rRNA from 1 species
AGAGUUUGAUCUGGCUCAGGACGAACGCUGGCGGCGUGCUUAACACAUGCAAGUCGAACGGGCGAUAUACCGUAGAAGCCUUCGGGUGGAAAUGGUAUAGAGCUAGUGGCGGACGGGUGAGUAACGCGUGGGCAACCUGCCUUGUCGACCGGGAUAACACCGGGAAACCGGUGCUAAUACCGGAUAACACACUUUUGAGGCAUCUAAAAAGUGUCAAAAGUUUCGGCGCGACAAGAUGGGCCCGCGUCCCAUUAGCUAGUUGGUAGGGUAAUGGCCUACCAAGGCGACGAUGGGUAGCCGGCCUGAGAGGGCAACCGGCCACACUGGGACUGAGACACGGCCCAGACUCCUACGGGAGGCAGCAGUGGGGAAUAUUGCGCAAUGGGGGAAACCCUGACGCAGCAACGCCGCGUGAGCGAAGAAGGCUUUCGGGUCGUAAAGCUCUGUCAUUGGGGAAGAAGUCUUACUUUAAGUAAGCUGACGGUACCCAAGGAGGAAGCCCCGGCUAACUACGUGCCAGCAGCCGCGGUAACACGUAGGGGGCAAGCGUUGUCCGGAAUUACUGGGCGUAAAGGGCGUGUAGGCGGUCAUUUAAGUCAGUGGUGAAAAUCGUAGGCUUAACCUGCGACUUGCCAAUGAAACUGAGUGACUUGAGGGCAGGAGAGGUAAGUGGAAUUCCUAGUGUAGCGGUGAAAUGCGUAGAUAUUAGGAAGAACACCAGUGGCGAAGGCGACUUACUGGACUGACCCUGACGCUGAGGCGCGAAAGCGUGGGGAGCGAACAGGAUUAGAUACCC